rfam:Haemonchus contortus, ISE/inbred ISE, WGS project CAVP01000000 data, contig: Hcontortus_contig_pathogens_Hcontortus_scaffold_7843
GAUGGUGUUUUGAGGCUGACUUGCUUGGGAAUUUGUUCAUGUUCCUAAGCGCUUCACCCUCAGAGACACCUUCA